rnacentral:lncRNA from 1 species
UAAUAGCCACUAGGAUCCAAUGAUCUAGUUCUAUAACUCAAUGUGAAGUUUCAACAUUCACUAGAUCUAGUGCCCCUUUAUGACACUAAGACAUUUCUAUGUUCAAGCAUGUUCCAAUUCUGAAUCUCUCAAUGGCCCUAUCCACUAGGUUCACCAUAACCCGAGCUCAAUGCCGCUUUAUGACAUUAGCUCCCGAAUUCACAUGUCAUUGA